UCACAAAUGUUGUUGGUGUCACUCAGCUGU
rnacentral:piRNA from 1 species